AGCAGCCGCGGUAAUUCCAGCUCCAAUAGCGUAUAUUAAAGUUGUUGCAGUUAAAAAGCUCGUAGUUGAAUUUCGGGAUUGACACAUCGGUCGUGCCUUAAGGGAUAUGAACUGGUGUAGUCAAUUUCUCACCUUCUGGAGAACCGCGAUGCCCUUAAUUGGGUGUCGCGGGGAACCAGGACCUUUACUUUGAAAAAUUAGAGUGUUUAAAGCAGGCAUUUUGCUUGAAUACAUUAGCAUGGAAUAAUAAAAUAGGACGGCAUGAUUCUAUUUUGUUGGUUUCUAGGAUCACCGUAAUGAUUAAUAGGGAUAGUUGGGGGCAUUAGUAUUCAAUUGUCAGAGGUGAAAUUCUUGGAUUUAUUGAAGACUAACUACUGCGAAAGCAUUUGCCAAGGAUGUUUUCAUUAAUCAAGAACGAAAGUUAGGGGAUCGAAGACGAUCAGAUACCGUCGUAGUCUUAACCAUAAACUAUGCCGACUAGGAAUCAGACGAUGUUAAUUUUUAAUGUACUCGUUU
rnacentral:rRNA from 1 species